AUGCGCACAAACCCGAUGGUACAGCCACCGAGGCCACACGCCCACGCAGACGAGACUGUGCUGAAUAGCACAGCCCAGGCAGUUGUGACGGUGGGCAUUUGUGUAUCUAAACAGAAAAGACUGCUGGCCUCGGGAUUGCCGUCCGGAUUAGGACGCUGUGCAAGCCCACUGUCACACCACCUCUGGGAGGCAGCAACGUCUUGCAGUGCCAACCUCGUGGGACAGAGAAACCAAGGCAGGAGGAGGGCCGGUUUGGCCCAAGGUCAAGCUGGUGACAGCUUGCGUGCCUGAGCUGCCCGUGCCUGUGCACGUGGCGUCCUUUCACAGCCAACGAACCCAGCCCCUGCGGACCGCUGAGCUGCGCGCUGUCAUGGGGCGUGCGAGUCAGGAGGUGCCGCUGGGCUCUUCCCCUCUUGGCCUCUCCAGCCGAGGCAUGUUUGUGGGACUGUCACUUACUUCUGUUUGCAGGACACCUGCAAUGCAGGCAGAGGCCUGGCCAGGCCUGUGGAGACUAGGGCCACUGCUUAAAUCCAGCCAAUGAGGCAGCUCAGAACUCCAAGGGGCAUCAUUCUCAUCGGCGCUGGUGCACACCUGGGUGUCGUUGCAGCCGUUUCCAGCAGGUGGCGGAGCCGUGCCGUGGGCAGAGGUGCCCUGUGAGUCCCGCGUGUGGUGCCGGUGGGAGACAGCGCCCGCCCACGCCUUGCAAGUCUGACACGCUGAG